rnacentral:rRNA from 1 species
AGUGAACGCUGGCGGUAGGCCUAACACAUGCAAGUCGAACGGCAGCACAGUAAGAGCUUGCUCUUACGGGUGGCGAGUGGCGGACGGGUGAGGAAUACAUCGGAAUCUACUUUUUCGUGGGGGAUAACGUAGGGAAACUUACGCUAAUACCGCAUACGACCUACGGGUGAAAGCAGGGGAUCUUCGGACCUUGCGCGAUUGAAUGAGCCGAUGUCGGAUUAGCUAGUUGGCGGGGUAAAGGCCCACCAAGGCGACGAUCCGUAGCUGGUCUGAGAGGAUGAUCAGCCACUCUGGAACUGAGACACGGUCCAGACUCCUACGGGAGGCAGCAGUGGGGAAUAUUGGACAAUGGGCGCAAGCCUGAUCCGGCCAUACCGCGUGGGUGAAGAAGGCCUUCGGGUUGUAAAGCCCUUUUGUUGGGAAAGAAAAGCAGCAGGUUAAUACCCCGCUGUUCUGACGGUACCCAAAGAAUAAGCACCGGCUAACUUCGUG